rnacentral:rRNA from 1 species
AUGAACGCUGGCGGCGUGCCUAAUACAUGCAAGUCGAGCGAACAGAUGAGGAGCUUGCUCCUCUGACGUUAGCGGCGGACGGGUGAGUAACACGUGGAUAACCUACCUAUAAGACUGGGAUAACUUCGGAAAACCGGAGCUAAUACCGGAUAAUAUAUUGAACCGCAUGGUUCAAUAGUGAAAGACGGUUUUGCUGUCACUUAUAGAUGGAUCCGCGCCGCAUUAGCUAGUUGGUAAGGUAACGGCUUACCAAGGCAACGAUGCGUAGCCGACCUGAGAGGGUGAUCGGCCACACUGGAACUGAGACACGGUCCAGACUCCUACGGGAGGCAGCAGUAGGGAAUCUUCCGCAAUGGGCGAAAGCCUGACGGAGCAACGCCGCGUGAGUGAUGAAGGUCUUCGGAUCGUAAAACUCUGUUAUUAGGGAAGAACAAAUGUGUAAGUAACUAUGCACGUCUUGACGGUACCUAAUCAGAAAGCCACGGCUAACUACGUG